GCAGAUACUUCAUAGAAUCAUUUCUAUAGUAUACGUCCUCUUCUGAGCUUCCUACAGAAGCCACAGAUUCUCCAACCUGGUUGAUGACUUUCAGCCUCUUUGUCCCGGAGUGAGGCCUUAUUGCACUUGCCUCGGCGAGUGUGGCGAUGAUCUUCAGCCAACUGGUUGCGUACUUCGGUCGCGCUGGAAGGCAGGACGCAGAUGGCAAUCUGACAGGC
rnacentral:snoRNA from 1 species